rnacentral:misc_RNA from 1 species
UUUCCGUAGGUGAACCUGCGGAAGGAUCAUUACAGAGUUCAUGCCCUCACGGGUGGAUCUCCCACCCUUGACUAUUGAUACCUUAGUUGCUUUGGCAGGCCGUAGAAACACCAUGGGCUUCGGCUUAUGCGUGCCUGCCAGAGGAAACAAACUCUGUUUUUAGUGAUGUCUGAGUACUAUAUAAUAGUUAAAACUUUCAACAACGGAUCUCUUGGUUCU